GACUUGGAACAAGAGAUUCCAAGAAUGUUUCACUAAUUUGAUUUAUUAGGGAUUUUAUCAGAUCUAAGGGAAAUAGGUGAACCGAAAAAAAUUUCGAGAAAUGAAGAUCCAGAGGGCAGCGAGCCUGUGCUGCCGAGACCGCCUCCGAGCGCCAGAGUAAGGUCGGCACCCGACCCUUUUCUGGUGGUCUGCCGGUGCUUUAGCAUUAUUUUGCAUGUUGCAGUUAUGACAAGAGUUUUCCCUGAAUAUUCAUCGAGUCAACGGGAUCUUGUACUUCUUCAGAACAUAGCGAGCUAUGUGUUCCUUGCUUGCGGUCUAGUAUAUGUUUUUUCGGGACUUUUAUGCAUUGGCUUUCUCAAACGUUCACGCAAAGAAAAGGAAAUUACAAGGGAACAAGCAGUUAAGGAUCUGGAGGAAGGGGAUGAGAGAAUGAAGCAUGGGACAUGUUGAUCCUGUUGUGUAUUAUGUUUUCCUGUGGAGAGGCAGGCAAGGGAGCUCACACCAAAACAAUUGUUCAACUUGAAGAUGCUUCCUUAUCUGAUGCUUUCUUCAAGUAGGAAACUAGGAAUAACAUUUCGUGUAAGAUUCUUUCGGAUUGCAUAUUAAA